GAUGAACGCUGGCGGCGUGCCUAAUACAUGCAAGUCGAGCGAACAGACGAGUAUCUUGCUCCUCUGACGUUAGCGGCGGACGGGUGAGUAACACGUGGAUAACCUACCUAUAAGACUGAGAUAACUUCGGGAAACCGGAGCUAAUACCGGAUAAUAUAUUUAACCGCAUGGUUCAAUAGUGAAAGACUGUUUUGCUGUCACUUAUAUAUGGUUCCGCGCCGCAUUAGCUAGUUGGUAAGGUAACGGCUUACCAAGGCAACUGUGCGUAGCCGACCUGAGAGGGUGAUCGGCGACAGUGGAAGUGAGACACGGUCCAGACUCGUACGGGAGGAAGCAGUAGGGAAUCUUACGCAAUGGGAGAAAGCAUGACGGAGCAAAGCCGCGUGAGUGAUGAAGGUAUUCGGAUCGUAAAACUCUGUUAUUAGGGAAGAACAAAUGUGUAAGUAACUAUGCACGUAUUGACGGUACCUAAUCAGAAAGCAACGGCUAACUCCGUG
rnacentral:rRNA from 1 species